UGUAAGCGUAUACCAAAGUUGUUGCAGUUAAAACGCUCGUAGUCGGAAUUUGGCAGUUCCGGAAGUGUGCACGUCGUGUGCGCACUUUGCGGGGACUGCUUUUGUGGUCUUGCGUAGGAUGAGGCACUUUCAUUAGUGAACGUCCUCACGCAACCACUCUUUACUGUGAGAAAAUCAGAGUGCUCAAAGCAGGCAUUUGCCGUGAAUGUAUUAGCAUGGAAUAAUAGAAUAGGACUCGGUUCUAUUUUGUUGGUUUGUUGGGACUGAGUAAUGAUUAAGAGGGACAGUUGGGGGCAUUUGUAUCCCGGCGCUAGAGGUGAAAUUCUUAGAUUGCCGGAAGACAAACUGCUGCGAAAGCGUCUGCCAAGGAUGUUUUCAUUGA
rnacentral:rRNA from 1 species